rnacentral:rRNA from 1 species
CAGUCGCCGCGGUAAUACGUAGGUGGCAAGCGUUGUCCGGAAUUAUUGGGCGUAAAGGGCUCGCAGGCGGUUUCUUAAGUCUGAUGUGAAAGCCCCCGGCUCAACCGGGGAGGGUCAUUGGAACCUGGGAAACUUGAGUGCAGAAGAGGAGAGUGGAAUUCCACGUGUAGCGGUGAAAUGCGUAGAGAUGUGGAGGAACACCAGUGGCGAAGGCGACCCUCUGGUCUGUAACUGACGCUGAGGAGCGAAAGCGUGGGGAGCGAACAGGAUUAGAUACCCGUGUAGUCCCUGUCUCUUAUAC